rnacentral:rRNA from 1 species
UACGAAGGGUGCAAGCGUUACUCGGAAUUACUGGGCGUAAAGCGUUGCGUAGGUGGUUUGUUAAGUCUGUUGUGAAAGCCCCGGGCUCAACCUGGGAAUGGCAAUGGAUACUGGCAGGCUAGAGUGCGGUAGAGGGUAGUGGAAUUCCCGGGUGUAAGCGGUGAAAUGCGUAGAGAUCGGGAGAACACCGUGGCGAAGGCGGCUCCUGGACCAGCGCUGACACUGAGGCACGAAAGCGUGGGGAGCAAAC